rnacentral:rRNA from 1 species
GCCCGGAAGAAGGCCCGGCUAACUACGUGCCAGCAGCCGCGGUAAGACGUAGGGUCCGAGCGUUGUCCGGAGUGACUGGGCGUAAAGCGCGCGCAGGCGGUUGCGCACGUCGGGUGUGAAAACCUGAGGCUCAACCUCAGGCCUGCAGUCAAUACUAGCAGACUAGAGUGUUGCAGGGGAAACUGGAAUUCCUGGUGUAGCGGUGAAAUGCGCAUAUAUCAGGAGGAACACCGGUGGCGAACGCGGGUCUCUGGGCAACAACUGACACUGAGGAGCGAAAGCAUGGGGAGCGAAGAGGAUUAGAUACCCUGGUAGUCCACGCCGUAAACAUUGGGCGCUAGGUGUGGGGUUCUUCCACCGAUUCCUCGCCGUAGCUAACGCAUUAAACGGCUUGCCUGGGGAGUACGGCCCCAAGGCUAAAACUCAAAGGAAUUGACGGGGGCCCGCACAAGCGGCGGAGCAUGUUGCU